CCGAUCUCGAAAAUUGGGUUCACGUGUAGAGGCGUUGGUCCCAUUGGUGUGAGAUACUCUUUCAUCCUGCCUCUAAUGAUUUCACAUCUGAAGAACAAUGGAUAAAAGUUUGAUGGCAAGGGAUUAUAAAAGAAGCAUACUUUAGCUCGAGAAAGCCACUCAUCUCAAUGGCCCCGCAGUAGGAGAUCUCACCAUCCCCCUGAGAGAAGUGCAUAUCGCCGGUACUAAGAUUUGCUCCUUCUAUGAAUACCGGAAGGUAUAUUUUUGAACCCCUGCUGAGAUUUUUGAUGUCACAGUUGCCUCCAUUUUCUCGUCCUGGUAUGGUCCUCGCGGCUUCUUUUGUUAUCCAUUCCCAUUCAGGAGAUCCUUGUUUAAUCUAAAAAGUAAACAAAUGGCAGGACAGCUCUUAACAGGUCGGUAUAUAGGAAAGAUAAAUAUCCAUUUUAAGUCAACGGUUGUGCGUUCCUAUGGUGAACAGUUGCUUAUGUACCAUUCCGGAAAACAGCCUUUUGUUGAUGGAGUUCCAUAGACGGUGCAGUCCCGACUAUUCCAGGGUGAUUCAAGCCUGGAAAUCUCACACCUGCAAAUCACCGUGGGAGCUUGUUAGUUGAGAUUGUAUCUAAACACACGACUAUCCCCAAUAGCAGCUGACAAGUCUUUCAGAGGCAAUGGAGCUUGAAGAUUUUUUACCAGGUAUUUGAGGAGA